AGAGUUUGAUCAUGGCUCAGGACGAACGCUGACGGUGUGCUUUAGACAUGCAAGUCGAACGAGAAAGUGGAGCAAUCCAUGAGUAAGGUGGCGCACGGGUGAGUAACACGUGGGUAAUCUGCCUCUGGGUGGGGAAUAACUCUGGGAAACCGGAGCUAAUACCGCAUAAGCCCCCAUUGAAUAAAUGGACGGGAAAGGCGAAAGUCGCCGAGAGAGGAGCCCGCGGUCGAUUAGCUAGUUGGUGAGGUAAAGGCUCACCAAGGCUGUGAUCGAUAGCUGGUCUGAGAGGACGACCAGCCACACUGGGACUGAGACACGGCCCAGACUCCUACGGGAGGCAGCAGUGGGGAAUCUUGCGCAAUGGGCGAAAGCCUGACGCAGCAACGCCGCGUGGGGGAUGAAUGCCUUCGGGUUGUAAACCCCUUUCAGCAGGGACGAAAUUGACGGUACCUGCAGAAGAAGCCCCGGCCAACUACGUGCCAGCAGCCGCGGUAAUACGUAGGGGGCAAGCGUUGUCCGGAUUCAUUGGGCGUAAAGGGCGCGUAGGCGGCUUGACAAGUCGGAUGUGAAAGCUCCAGGCUCAACCUGGAGAUGCCACCCGAUACUGUUAUGGCUAGAGUCCGGUAGGGGACCACGGAAUUCCUGGUGUAGCGGUGAAAUGCGCAGAUAUCAGGAGGAACACCGGUAGCGAAGGCGGUGGUCUGGGCCGGCACUGACGCUGAGGAGCGAAAGCGUGGGUAGCAAACAGGAUUAGAUACCCUCGUAGUCC
rnacentral:rRNA from 1 species